rnacentral:rRNA from 1 species
AGUGAUCCUACGGGAGGCAGCAGUGGGGAAUAUUGGACAAUGGGCGAAAGCCUGAUCCAGCAAUGCCGCGUGAGUGAUGAAGGCCUUAGGGUUGUAAAGCUCUUUUACCCGGGAUGAUAAUGACAGUACCGGGAGAAUAAGCUCCGGCUAACUCCGUG